UACGAAGGGGGCUAGCGUUGCUCGGAAUCACUGGGCGUAAAGCGCACGUAGGCGGAUUGUUAAGUCAGGGGUGAAAUCCUGGAGCUCAACUCCAGAACUGCCUUUGAUACUGGCGAUCUUGAGUCCGGGAGAGGUGAGUGGAACUGCGAGUGUAGAGGUGAAAUUCGUAGAUAUUCGCAAGAACACCAGUGGCGAAGGCGGACUCACUGGCCCGGUACUGGACGCUGAGGCACGAA
rnacentral:rRNA from 1 species